rnacentral:misc_RNA from 1 species
CGGUGGCCGAACAGAACUAUGAGGGAGAGAGCGGAGAGAGAGAGAGUGAGUGGAAGCCGAGGGCCGCCGUGGUUGCAAGAACUGGGCAGAGGUGGUCGCUGUCAGUGAUUUGUGGCUACGGCAACAUGGGAACCUCGAGCGGGUCAUGUGGGUUUCCCUGGGAAGCUCUGCGCGUGCUUGGGGUCUCACCAAGGGAGAAAGGCAACCGAAAUCGCUCGUCGGUGUGUGCAUCGGCCUCACACCCGCGCCUCGCCGUGGUCCGGUCUCUGUGCCACCCGAUUGCCGCGCGAGGUCACGAGUCCUCUGAAAAGCAAGUUGGUACCUGGAAUCUCAAGUGUCAGACAAGAGAAGAACAGGUGGUCGAAGAGGAGCCGCCUAGCACUGAGGCUUUUGACUUGAUCUAGGUGGUGUCUCCCAGUCAGCUUUGUGGCGCUAGGGAAUAAUAUAUAGUUCGCUUUAUUUUAU